AUACGUAGGAUCCGAGCGUUAUCCGGAUUCAUUGGGUUUAAAGGGUGGGCAGGCGGCCAUUUAAGUCCGCGGUUAAAUCGAGGGGCUCAACCCCAUUCUGCCGUUGAGACUGGGGGGCUUUAUUGGGGUGGAGGUUGGCGGGAUUUGUUGGGUGGUGGUGUAAUGCAUAGAUAUGACGAAGAACACCGAUCGCGUAGGCAGCUGUCCAGACCGCAAAUGACGCUCAUGCACGAAAGUGCGGGGAUCGAACAGGAUUAGAUACCCUGGUAGUCCGAACAGUAAACGAUUAAUACUUGGUUUCGGCGAUAUAAUGGCGCGGGCAAAGCGAAAGCGAUAAGUAUUCCACCUGGGGAGUACGCCGGCAACGGUGAAACUCAAAGGAAUUGGCGGGG
rnacentral:rRNA from 1 species